AACGAACGCUGGCGGCAGGCCUAACACAUGCAAGUCGAGCGCCCCGCAAGGGGAGCGGCGGACGGGUGAGUAACGCGUGGGAACGUACCCUUUGCUACGGAAUAGCCUCGGGAAACUGGGAGUAAUACCGUAUGUGCCCCCCCAAUCAAAUUUCAUUUGAUUGAAUAAUCAGACUUAUCAAAUUCCAGUGGAAUUUGAUGGGGGGGGAAAGAUUUAUCGGCAAAGGAUCGGCCCGCGUUGGAUUAGGUAGUUGGUGGGGUAAUGGCCUACCAAGCCGACGAUCCAUAGCUGGUUUGAGAGGAUGAUCAGCCACACUGGGACUGAGACACGGCCCAGACUCCUACGGGAGGCAGCAGUGGGGAAUCUUAGACAAUGGGCGCAAGCCUGAUCUAGCCAUGCCGCGUGAGCGAUGAAGGCCUUAGGGUUGUAAAGCUCUUUCAGUGGGGAAGAUAAUGACUGUACCCACAGAAGAAGCCCCGGCUAACUCCGUG
rnacentral:rRNA from 1 species